UCCUCUACAACUUGUAUUUCGACUAGAGUUGUCAGAGUAACUUUAGUGGAUUUAAGUUGCUUGUAAUUCGAGAGAAUUACAGCUCGUGUGCGAGCGCUGCAGAGACUCGGAAGCGUACCGUGACCACACGUGCUGUCCGGUCUGUGAAGUCGCCGAGGAACGUAAAGGAGUUUGUCAAAGCCAAUUUGAUCUCGUGUGGAGAAAAAUGCAGAUUACACAAAAUGCCCAUGGUUACUGAUAUAAGAAGACUGGGCAUAUAAAAAAAUUAACGGAGAUUCUUAGUAAAAGGAAUUUUGAGAUGCUUCACCAGCAAGUAAAGUUUGAAGAAGAGGCAAUGAUGGAGGAACUAAAACUAGAACAAGAACAAAAACUGCAGACUAUAAAGGAAGAAUUCCAGAAGAUAAAUGAAGACAUCGCUUAUCUCUCCAGCACUAUCAGAGACUUAGAACAGACAUUGGAGAGUAGUGACGUUGGAUUUCUUCAGACAUUCCAGGACAACUUGAAGGGGAAUCAGAAGUCUUUCCAGAAGAGCUUAUAGAUCAUGCCAAUUAUAUAGGCAACCUGAAAUUCAAUGUCUGGAGAAAAAUCUGAGAUUCUGUCAGCUACAGUCCUGUGGUGCUGGAUCCCAACACAGUUAACUGUCAGCUUCUACUGUCUGAUGAUCUGACAGACAUGUGGAACCCCAUUGAAGCUGACAAUGUCUGGUUAGUGGGCGUGGCCACUGAAUCAGUGCAGAGGAGAGGAAAGUACGGGCUGCCUAGUGAUACCUGGACUAUUGGAUUCGAAAGGGAUACUCUUAGUGCAAGAGUCACGUGUCCAUCUGAGUGGAUAUGAGAAACCCAAGCAGGUGUGGGUAAAACUGGACAUGAAUGAAGGACAGGUGUCGUUCUAUGAUCCUCAGAGUGACAUCAUCUAUUACACAGUCACCCACAGUUUCAGAGAGAAAGUCUUUCCUUUCUUUCACGCUGUGUGCCGUGAACCUCUAAGAGUUCUGCCUGUGUGGCCAAAUCCCUAAAUUAAAAGAGUUCUUGAAUCUCUCUCCUGUUGUUUUGGAGAACAUGUCAUAUUUAUUAGCAGUUUCAAAUGCACUCCAAGUUACAUAGUGAUAUGUUCAAAUUUUGGGUUUAUUGAUUUUUUCCAUUUCCUGUUUUAGUUAUUUCCCUAAUUGUCAUCUCUAAUAUAUUUGAAACUUAGCAACUUGAACAAACAUUUGUGAAAGAUGCUUG